rnacentral:tRNA from 1 species
CGGGAUGUAGCGCAGUUUGGUAGCGCACUGCGUUCGGGACGCAGGGGGCGCAGGUUCAAAUCCUGUCAUCCCGA